CCUUCGGGUCUAGUGGCGCACGGGUGCGUAACGCGUGGGAAUCUGCCCUUAGGUUCGGAAUAACAGUGGGAAACUACUGCUAAUACCGGAUAAUGACGUAAGUCCAAAGAUUUAUCGCCUAAGGAUGAGCCCGCGUAAGAUUAGCUAGUUGGUGGGGUAAAGGCCUACCAAGGCUACGAUCUUUAGCUGGUCUGAGAGGAUGAUCAGCCACACUGGGACUGAGACACGGCCCAG
rnacentral:rRNA from 1 species